rnacentral:rRNA from 1 species
CCUACGGGAGGCUGCAGUGGGGAAUAUUGGACAAUGGGGGCAACCCUGAUCCAGCCAUGCCGCGUGUGUGAAGAAGGCCCUCGGGUUGUAAAGCACUUUCAGUGAGGAAGAACGCCUGGUGGUUAAUACCCAUCAGGAAAGACAUCACUCACAGAAGAAGCACCGGCUAACUCCGUGCCAGCAGCCGCGGUAAUACGGAGGGUGCGAGCGUUAAUCGGAAUUACUGGGCGUAAAGCGCGCGUAGGUGGCUUGAUAAGCCGGUUGUGAAAGCCCCGGGCUCAACCUGGGAACGGCAUCCGGAACUGUCAAGCUAGAGUGCAGGAGAGGAAGGUAGAAUUGCCGGUGUAGCGGUGAAAUGCGUAGAGAUCGGGAGGAAUACCAGUGGCGAAGGCGGCCUUCUGGACUGACACUGACACUGAGGUGCGAAAGCGUGGGUAGCAAACAGGAUUAGAUACCCGUGUAGUC